UACUUUGAGCCGUGAAACAUUGGGUUCGUUGGUCAAUAAGAAACGGUGCAAACCUCGAGAGUUUAUGUGAAUUGCAGACAUACUAAACGUUGAUAUUUUGAAGGCAUAUGGUGGAAAAGACUGCUGUCGAUGCCACUGCGGCCGCUUGAGGGUCG
rnacentral:rRNA from 1 species